CAAUUCGGUCGAAGUCGUGACGUCACCUGUCCCGCUUUACAAAAUGCAGCGUUUCAUUUAUUCUGAUUCAUAUUUUGUUUGGGCUUUAGAUUGCAAAUGGGUUUUAGAUGAAGCUCUGAAAAGCCCAUCUCCAAAAUAGUUUAGUUCUGUCUCUAAACGCGUCGUUUUUUAUUUCAAUGGUGGAACCAUUAUUCUUCUCCACCGGCGGGAUGUAGGCUCUAAGUCUAGGGUUUCGAUUCAUCUUCUUCCUCAGACCCUGAUUUUAAUCAGUUUCACCUUCGUCUUCUUAAAGGCCUCCUUGAUUCAAUCAUACACGAUCUACAUUUAUUUCUGCUUCUCUCUUGCAAGGCGGUGGAAAUCUCAGUAUAAAAAGGAAGGACCAAGAAAAACAAAGCAACAACAAUUAACCAAAUAUGGAUAAGCACUGCAAAUGGAACAAGAAGAAACAGAGGCACUCCAGAACCGCAUGAAACUAUAUGUACCUUUCUUACGGGUUUUGAUUGUUGUAAUCUUUCAUCUUUUGAUGAUCUGUAGUGGAUCAUAUCUUUAGUUUUGGAUAGGCUUUGGUGUUAAUUGUUAAAUCGUUUGUUUCUAACAUUGUCUCUCUUCCGAGAUUUGUCCUCUUCUCUUUUUCCCGAGUUACAGUGAUUUUGCAAUUAAUCUGGUUAAUGUUUAGCGAAAAGCUUUUGUUCUAUUUGAGACCGUUAAGAUUUAUUUCUUAGAGUCACAGAAAACCACUGCUCUACUUUGUCUUCUUCGCCUGUGACCUUUUAACCUUUCAACUUCGUAGGAGUUCGUCGCGUUGGAGCAUCUCAGAAUCACAGAUCGUUGUUUGAUUAUAUCUACUGCUGUCAGGCCGCGAGUAUGUGGAGCUUGCAGUGUCAUGACACUUAGCUUCUCACUUUUUCACACUUAGUUUCAAAAAGAAAAAAAAAAGAAGAUUGUGUUUAGCGGUUCAAAUGAAGUCUUGACUUCUCGGAUGAGUUGAUAAGGAAGAUGGAGCUUAGAAGCCUCCGUAGUUACUGAGCCUGCUGUUAGUAGACGACCCUAUUGUUGGGGAAUUGUCCCGAGUGUACGCACUGCAAUGAUUUUAUAUAUGUUAGAUUUUUAUAGGAACAUGCUCAUUAGCAUGAAAAUAAUGAGAAGGGGACAAAUAUAAAUUCAAGUGUAAAUUCCGGUAGAAAAUAUAUUAUAUUAUCUCCACUGAAGAAAUAAAAUAAUAUCAUAUUGUUGGUGGAAGUUAUGUAAAUGUGUUUUGUUUACUUCUCAGGAAAUAAAAUAAAAACUAUAGGACAACGUUUCUGCAAAAAUAAUUCGAUCUUUUGUAUCCUAACAGUUAAAAAAAAAUUUUGCCAAUGAUUGGAAAAGAAAAGUGUAAAAUUGUUGUUAAUUUUCAAAAUUUUAAAAUAGCUUUUAUUUAAUUAAGUAAAAGAAUCCAAAAAAAGAAAGUUAUAAAUUUUCCCUCUAAAUUCUGGGUUGAUCCGGUGAGUUGUUUGGUUGUUUCAAUUUUGUUUAUUAUUAAGAUCAAAUCUACUAAGACAUUUAUCCAUCAUUUUCUCUCAUUAGUAUUUAAUUUUCAAUGCAAACAAAUUUUUAAUAUCGUUUUCAGUCAGCAGAUGAUAAUAUAAUGAAAAUACAUAAUUUAUACAAAAUAGUUUGAUGUUUUUUUCCCUAACAUUUACAUAAUAUAGUUUGUCAAUGAUUUGAAAAGAGAAAGUGCAAAAUUGUUGUUGAUUUCCUAAAAUCAUAAGUCUUUUAAACAUUACUCACGAAACGAAGGAGAAGAACUCAAAUAAUUUUAUUUUUAAAUAUAUAUAACCCUAAGACCAUACCAAAAUGUUAUGAUUCUAUCAUGUUUUUAUGAGAUGCGAAAAUAAAUUAUCUUAUUUUCUAAUGACAUUCAGUUUAAUUUAUCAUAUACAAGUGAAAUUUACCGUGUUUAUAUAUAAGCAUAUAAUAAUACCCGAAGCAACUUUGCAUGUUGUUGUUCCUAAGGAAAUAUUUUUAGAAAGAAGCUGAUUGGUUUGAGAUAUAUGAUUUCAAAUUAUUCACAAAUGUAAAAAAUAAUUAUGUACAUUAGUUGCGUUACAAAAGUUUUAAUGUUAUUUGUAUAGUAGAAAAUUUAUUACACAAUCUGAAUAAUUUAUAGGAUAAAACAUAUUAGUGGAUUUAUGUCUGUCACAUAUAAAAAAUAAUUAUUUUUAUAAUAAUUCGUCUAUGUCUUCUUCUCCAACACAUAUUAAUAUUAUAUAUAUAUAUAUAUAUAUAUAUAUAUAUAUAUAUGUAUACACAUACUAAUGUGCACAUUUCUAUAAUAGUAAAUAAUGAUUACUAUAUAUUAUAAAACUAAACAUUUCAAACUAAAAUAAAUAUUAAAAAGAUAAUGUUAUUUAUCAAAGAAUAGUGAAGGUAACUGUCAUUUUAAUUCAACAAUUAUUCACCAUCAAAAUAAAAACAGAAUAAAAC